GUUAAUAAUAGCUUUAUCAAUUAUUGCGAUAUCAAUUGUCGAAACAGAUACCUUUUCUAUAAGUGACUACCGUCCUAAUGGUCAGGUUCUGCAAGAGGUUCCAGCAACAUUAAACGCAGUCACUUCCGUCAUUCAAGAAGAAACAAUUCCACGCCUGAGGGCUGGUAACUUUCUGGGAGCAGCUUUAUCUACAACGGGUCAUCUUCAGAACAUCGUUAGUAAGAUGCAAUUCGCAGAACUUGGGAUUGAUGUUAAAAAAACACUACCUUUUGCAUUCAUAGACCCAGAGAAGUUUUGAGUAAAAAUUACUCAUGAACAUUGGCUAUCGAGGAGUGUAUUUUACUAUGCGCAUAAGAAGAAUUUAGAUAUUUUUCACAUGUCCUCGAAAUAUCACAUUUGU